GUACCUGCGGAGGGAUCAUUACCGAGUUUACAAACUCCCAAACCCUUUGUGAACCUUACCUAUCGUUGCUUCGGCGGGACCGCCCCGGCGCCUUCGGGCCCGGAACCAGGCGCCCGCCGGAGGCCCCAAACUCUUAUGUCUUUAGUGGUUUUCUCCUCUGAGUGACACAUAAACAAAUAAAUAAAAACUUUCAACAACGGAUCUCUUGGUUCUGGCAUCGAUGAAGAACGCAGCGAAAUGCGAUAAGUAAUGUGAAUUGCAGAAUUCAGUGAAUCAUCGAAUCUUUGAACGCACAUUGCGCCCGCCAGUAUUCUGGCGGGCAUGCCUGUUCGAGCGUCAUUUCAACCCUCAGGCCCCCAGUGCCUGGCGUUGGGGAUCGGCGUGGGCGGCGACGGCUCUCCGGAGCCCGAGCCAAUGCCUGCCGGCCCCGAAAUUCAGUGGCGGUCUCGCUGUAGUCCCCCUCUGCGUAGUAGCACAACUCGCAUUGGAGCUCGGCGGUGGCCAUGCCGUAAAACACCCCACUUCUGAAAGUUGACCUCGGAUCAGGUAGGAAUACCCGCUGAACUUAAGCAUAUCAAUAGGCGGAGGAA
rnacentral:rRNA from 1 species